GUGGGGAAUAUUGGACAAUGGGGGGAACCCUGAUCCAGCCAUGCCGCGUGUGUGAAGAAGGCCUUUUGGUUGUAAAGCACUUUAAGCGAGGAGGAGGCUACCGAGAUUAAUACUCUUGGAUAGUGGACGUUACUCGCAGAAUAAGCACCGGCUAACUCUGUGCCAGCAGCCGCGGUAAUACAGAGGGUGCAAGCGUUAAUCGGAUUUACUGGGCGUAAAGCGCGCGUAGGUGGCCAAUUAAGUCAAAUGUGAAAUCCCCGAGCUUAACUUGGGAAUUGCAUUCGAUACUGGUUGGCUAGAGUAUGGGAGAUGAUGGUAGAAUUCCAGGUGUAGCGGUGAAAUGCGUAGAGAUCUGGAGGAAUACCGAUGGCGAAGGCAGCCAUCUGGCCUAAUACCGACACUGAGGUGCGAAAGCAUGGGGAGCAAACAGGAUUAGAUACCCGAGUAGUCC
rnacentral:rRNA from 1 species